CACACAAAUAGCUAAUCAUUUUAUUUUUUAACAGGCCGGGCCCCCAAAAGUUUCUACACACUGCAUAUCGUCGGCAGCGUCAGAUGUGUAUAAGGGACGGGGAUGGACCCGCGUCUGAUUAGCUAGUUGGUAAGGUAACGGCUUACCAAGGCGACGAUCAGUAGCCGACCUGAGAGGGUGAUCGGCCACAUUGGAACUGAGACACGGUCCAAACUCCUACGGGAGGCAGCAGUGGGGAAUAUUGCACAAUCUGUCUCUUAUACA
rnacentral:ncRNA from 1 species